rnacentral:rRNA from 1 species
AUUGAACGCUGGCGGCAGGCCUAACACAUGCAAGUCGAACGAGUGGCGGACGGGUGAGUAAUGUCGGGGAAACUGCCCGAUGGAGGGGGAUAAAUACGGGAAACGGUAGCUAAUACCGCAUACCAUCGUAUGCGCACAGAUGGGAAUAGCUAGUAGGUGGGGUAACGGCUCACCUAGGCGACGCUCCCUAGCUGGUCUGAGAGGAUGACCGGCCACACUGGGACUGAGACACGGUCCAGACUCCUACGGGAGGCAGCAGUAGGGAAUAUUGCGCAAUGGACGCAAGUCUGAUGCAGCCAUGCCGCGUGUGUGAAGAAGGUUUUCGGAUCGUAAAGCACUUUCAUUGAGGAAGCGUUACUUACAGAGAAAGCACCGGCUAACUCCGUGCCAGCAGCCGCGGUAAUUC